GACGAACGCUGGCGGCGUGCCUAAUACAUGCAAGUAGAACGCUGAAGGAGGAGCUUGCUUCUCUGGAUGAGUUGCGAACGGGUGAGUAACGCGUAGGUAACCUGCCUGGUAGCGGGGGAUAACUAUUGGAAACGAUAGCUAAUACCGCAUAAGAGUAGAUGUUGCAUGACAUUUACUUAAAAGGUGCACUUGCAUCACUACCAGAUGGACCUGCGUUGUAUUAGCUAGUUGGUGGGGUAAGGGCUCACCAAGGCGACGAUACAUAGCCGACCUGAGAGGGUGAUCGGCCACACUGGGACUGAGACACGGCCCAGACUCCUACGGGAGGCAGCAGUAGGGAAUCUUCGGCAAUGGACGGAAGUCUGACCGAGCAACGCCGCGUGAGUGAAGAAGGUUUUCGGAUCGUAAAGCUCUGUUGUAAGAGAAGAACGAGUGUGAGAGUGGAAAGUUCACACUGUGACGGUAUCUUACCAGAAAGGGACGGCUAACUAC
rnacentral:rRNA from 1 species